GACGAACGCUGGGCGUGCUUAACACAUGCAAGUCGACCGGAAAGGCCCUGCUUUUGUGGGGUGCUCGAGUGGCGAACGGGUGAGUAACACGUGAGUAACCUGCCCUUGACUUUGGGAUAACUUCAGGAAACUGGGGCUAAUACCGGAUAGGAGCUCCUGCUGCAUGGUGGGGGUUGGAAAGUUUCGGCGGUUGGGGAUGGACUCGCGGCUUAUCAGCUUGUUGGUGGGGUAGUGGCUUACCAAGGCUUUGACGGGUAGCCGGCCUGAGAGGGUGACCGGCCACAUUGGGACUGAGAUACGGCCCAGACUCCUACGGGAGGCAGCAGUGGGGAAUAUUGCACAAUGGGCGGAAGCCUGAUGCAGCAACGCCGCGUGCGGGAUGACGGCCUUCGGGUUGUAAACCGCUUUCGCCUGUGACGAAGCGUGAGUGACGGUAAUGGGUAAAGAAGCACCGGCUAACUACGUG
rnacentral:rRNA from 1 species